AGUGAACGCUGGCGGCGUGCCUAAUACAUGCAAGUCGAACGGAGUGGCGCACGGGUGAGUAAUAUAUAGCUAAUCUGCCCCUUGCUGGGGGACAACAGUUAGAAAUGACUGCUAAUACUCCAUAGCAAGGGAUGAGGCUAUAUCGUAUCAGCUAGUCGGUGGGGUAACGGCCGACCGAGGCUAUGACGCGUAACAGGUCGGAGGGGAUGAUCAGCAACAUCGGAACUGAGACACGGGCCAAGAACCUACGGGAGGGGGCGGUAGGGAGAAUUACCCAAGGGGGGAGACCGUAACACGCCCUCGCCGCGUAGAGGAUGACACUUUUCGGGGCAUGAACUCCUUUUGUUAGGGAAGCGGUACCUAACGAAUAAGCACCGGCUAACUCCGUGCCAGCAGCCGCGGUAAUAC
rnacentral:rRNA from 1 species